rnacentral:rRNA from 1 species
GACGAACGCUGGCGGCGUGCCUAAUACAUGCAAGUUGAGCGCUGAAGGUUGGUACUUGUACCAACUGGAUGAGCAGCAAACGGGUGAGUAACGCGUGGGGAAUCUGCCUUUGAGCGGGGGACAACAUUUGGAAACGAAUGCUAAUACCGCAUAAAAACUUUAAACACAAGUUUUAAGUUUGAAAGAUGCAAUUGCAUCACUCAAAGAUGAUCCCGCGUUGUAUUAGCUAGUUGGUGAGGUAAAGGCUCACCAAGGCGAUGAUACAUAGCCGACCUGAGAGGGUGAUCGGCCACAUUGGGACUGGGACACGGCCCAAACUCCUACGGGAGGCAGCAGGAGGGAAUCUUCGGCAAUGGACGAAAGUCUGACCGAGCAACGCCGCGUGAGUGAAGAAGGUUUUCGGAUCGUAAAACUCUGUUGGUAGAGAAGAACGUUGGUGAGAGUGGAAAGCUCAUCAAGUGACGGUAACUACACAGAAAGGGACGGCUAACUACGUG